GCACAAAUUAAAGCUCGGGUGCUCGUACGAGAUCCCGAAACAGAAAAAGGCCCUCGAUGGAUUCCAGCAAAAAGUGUGCGGCCUUUCCGUGAAUCAUUACCACAAUCAUCGGACAAMGAACUGGACCACUCCCAAGACAGACCUUCUGAGCAGCAAGCCGG